GGUUCCUCGGACUGGAGAGAUUAGAAAGGGGAGAGCCUAAACACCUCAGUCCAGGUUGUCUCCAUGGAUGAUGAGUCAAAGAUGACGAUCAGAAACUCUAGCAGCUGAUCUAGGCCUUGCAUCUGGAUGACUAGACUGCCCUAAUCAAGAAAAUCAAAGAUGUGGGUGUGGCUAAAGAGUAGGAGACACCUUGGAAGAUGGCCUGCCUCUUUAACAAGAGACCUGCUUUCACAGGAACCUAAAAGAAAUCUCUGAGAAGUGUCAGCAAUAAAAAGACUUAAAAAACAAGAGAAACUGGACAAAAGCCAAAGGUUUUAAGAGAUUGAAUGCAAUUUCAAUCAGAAUAUCAACAGGCAACAAUUUCAAAAAAAGAAGAGGAAAGUUGGAAAACUAAUACUACUUGCUUUCAAGAUAUAAUAUAAAAUCAAGAAUAAUCCUUAGAUUUUCUGGAUGGACAACUGGAUGGCUGGUUGUGUUAUGGAAUGGUUAAGAAGGGAGGAAAACAAAUUAAGGAGUGGAUCAAGACUCCAUAUUGAAUGAAUCCAAGUAUGGAGGCAACAGGAAGCUAUUAGACCACAUGUUUCAGUAAAAUGAGGAUUCACAUAAAGAAAGAGGAAGAAACAGGAACCCAGAAAACAGGGGACCUGAAAGAGGAGAGCAAGAAAGAAAAAUGUCAGGAUGACAGCUUGCACCUGGCCAAAGAACAGCCAGUCAGGCUGCUGCAGGGGACAGAGGCAUUCAGGAGGGAAUUCUGCAGGGCUGAAAAGGGGAACAAACUGAC
rnacentral:lncRNA from 1 species